UGCCCCUCCCCCUUUGCGCCGACUCACGCAAAAACCGCAAAUCGUGCGUGGUGGGGGAGACUCGAGUUUGACAUUCUUGGUGGAUUUCAAGAGAAGUUCCCUUUUACGCAACGCAACAUCCGGUCAGACAAUUCACAACAGUCGUGCGAGAUGGUCACUCCCAAUAACCGAGAACGAGUUGAAAGCCCUGCUUGGAAGAGGAAUUAGAGCUCCGGGAAAAGGAAAAAGCCCUUGAGGACAGAAAGAAGCGCUUGGAUGAUGAAAGAAAGAGGAUUGAAAAGGACAAGGAGGAAUGGAGUGCCCACGAGAAGAAGGUGCUCGAAGAGUCAAAACUCCUUUCGAUCCGAGAAAAGGAGCUGGAUGAAAAGGAGAGGGAGCUGAAGGAAGCCCUGGAUGCUUAUAUAUUGGUUUCGACGCCCGGCGGGCCCGGGAGUAUGAACAGGUCCAGAGGGACAAAGACGCCCGGCGUGCCCAUGCAGGACGAUAGCAGGAUCCCGAUAUGGCGUUGUACUUUUAAUGUUCCAAUGACACGUUGCUUUCAUUUAAGUUAAUGUUCAAAAUAUAAAUAAUUAGCUACA